rnacentral:lncRNA from 1 species
AGUUAGAAUUAAAAAUCACACCAGAUACAAGUUUUCUCUCUUUCUCUCUGUGUGAGGGCCCCGGACCCGAGGUCCCAAAUCACCUCGGAUCCGAUUCGAUCAUUCUAUACAACUAUUACUAUUUGCGGAAGAUAUAAACAUAAAUUAUUUAUACAUUAAACUUACAUACUUUUUCCCAAGGUCGAGUAACUUUAACUUAUACACCAUUCCUAAACUAUCUAACAUAAUACAUUAUUAACAUACUAUAUUAUUACAAAUUAGCUGCACAUUUUAUCCCAAGCUGAACUUGGCAUUAUUCUUUUCCUGUAUCCAAACGCAUUCGCCUUAUCUGCAAUGUUUUAUCAUGAUAUAGCAAGGGUGAGCAUAAAGAUUGCCCAGCAAGUUUAUGUUGAAUAAUAUAUCGAUAUAUCAUGAUUGAAAUGAUUUGAAUAAUUGGCUGGCUAUAAUUCAAAAAUAUAAUUGUGAACUAGCAGGAACAAAUUUAUGACUGAACAAGUAUUAUACACGAACAAAUAUAUCUGAACCAACUGGUAAUGAAGGUGAUCAGCCUUUCAUACCUGACUUAUACAUGCAAUAUGUACAGAGUACAAUUCAUGGCAACCAGCAAUGAUUAACCAUAAGCUUAUUAGAAUGAAACACUCUUAAUAGAGUUAAGUAAAAACAAAUUUGCCUGAACCGUUGAUUACCGCUACGCAAUUUAUAACGCUUUAUCUGAACCUAAUAUAUAAAUAAUACCGAUUACUAAGUUAGAAUAAUAUCAUCACAAUUUAUAAAAUAACCAAAACAUAUUACACAUAACACAUAACCCUAUCAGUCUACAACACACAUAGGACUCGGUAUCAAGUCAAACUAUUGCAGUCUGAGUUGAACCCGAAACAAAACUGACAUCCCGACGGUCUAGUCGGACAAUUCACGAGUUUAAGUUCAAUUAAACUCUGGCAAAACACUUAACAGUUAUCUUAGACAAUUUUCUAAGUAGUCAAAACAAUUUUCAUAAGUUCGUAAUAAUUUUUAAAUAAUUAUUACUAUUUAUUGUAAAUUUUCAAUCAUUAAUAACGUAUUUAACUGAAUUAAAUACCACAUAAUUCUUUUAUCAUUAAUGUUUAUUUAUUAUCAAAUAUUAAUGAAAAACAUAAUAUGAUAUUAUAAUAUAUUUAUAAUAUCACAAAGUAUUUUUAAUACCUUAAAAUCAUAUUUAUAUGAUUUUUAAACACUUAAAUCCAUUAUCUGAUAAUUGAUAUUAAUAUUAAAAUAUUAAUAUUUUUUUGACAAAAUAUCAAAAGUUAUAUUUUAUAACUUAAAAAUAUUUUUAUAACACUUAAAUCAUUUUUAUAUGAUGUAUAAGUCAUUAAUUCUAUUUUUCCAUAAUUUAUUUAAUAUAUUUAUUAAAUAAAGUAAUUAUCAUUAAUAUUGAUUAAUUAAUGAAAUUCAUCCUAAAAUAUUAAAAGUCAUUGAAAAUAACUUAAAAUAUUUUCUUUUACCAUAAUAUUAUUUUUCAUGAUUUUUGAUGUCUUAAAAUCAAUUUUAAAUAAUUUAUUUAAUAUUAUAAUUAAAUAAAUUAAAUACCAUUUAUAUUCCAAAAAUAUUAAAUAUUAAUGAAAUAUACUUAAUACCAUUCAUAUUUAUUUAGUAUUUUUAAUAAUUAAAAACCAUUUUUUAUCUAUUUUUUAAAUAAUUUCCGGAAAAUCAGAAAAUAAAUUAAAUAGAAAUUGUCGCUAAAGGGCCCUAUAGCGACAGACCCGUCGCUAUAGGUGUUCUUGAGGCUGUUCUUGAGCUUCAUCGCCAGUUACCGGUUGGCUUGUUUGACCAAGAUUAAAUCUAUGAUCUAAUUAUUUUUCUGGGCUCCUAAAGUUUUAAUGAUGUAGUAUUUAUGUAAUACUACAACCAAAAACUGAGUUCAUGGCCAAAACAUUACUUAAACGCAAGAUCUAAGCUGCAGAAAAGCAUGUCAGAGUUGUUCUUCAUUUCUGGGUUUUCCAGAAAUUAAGAACAGUUGUUAGGUCUUACUUUGAGCCUCCGGAUCUAGGCCUUCCACGUAUUAUUAAUGUAAUAUUAAGGUUCCAUUGUGUAGUUCUCAUGACAGGGUACCAUAAUAUAUCAUCAUAUCCAUAUAACAACAACAUGAAAGAAAGAUUUGAGCCGGUCAAACUGGUAGUCAGAAAAAGGUUCUUGAAGAUUCUAGGUUACCCAGAAUCUCCUUCUGGCCAGUUAGUCAACGUGGGUUUGACCACGAUUAUCUUUGAUCCUGUUAUGGAUCUGGUUGUUCUAAGGGCUGGGAUGUGUAGUACUGUUGUCCGACUACAAGAUAUAUGCACAAACAUAGCUAUUAACCUUAACAGUUGCCAGAUCAAAGGCCGAAAAGAAGUUGUCAGAGCUACCUGGGGAUUUCUGGGCUGCCCAGAAGGCAGUUUCCGUGAACGGUCAACCCACUUUGACCGAUCAUAACUUGGGUUCUAGGCACGAUCAGACCAUGUUUCAAGUUGCAGAAUAAAGACCAAAUAACAUACUACAAGUCUAUAACAUAAAACACACAUAACACUUAAUACACACAGAUCUAGAAGCCCUGACAUAUGUCUGUCAGGCCAUCAUUUUUAACAUUUUCCAGAUUUCUAAAAUCAUCAAAUCCGAGCAUCAAAAUGAUAUGGAUCUAGGUUUUGACCACCCAGAUCAUCAAGUGACACCCUCUAGCAUAUAUCUAAACAACAAACAACAACAUUAACUUAAGAUCAAAAUUUCGAAAUUUUAGGGUUCUUAUACCUUUCAAGCUUGAUCUUUGAUUUCUGACUUUGUGAUCUGAUCUUGGUAAGUUAUAAACUGAUCAUGGCUUAACUUCUCUCUCUCUCUCACUCAAGAUUUUGAAAUUGAAGAGAGAGAAUGGUCUUGGCAAUAAUAAAAAAUAAAGUAAGUAUUUUCUUACUUUAAAUCUCUUAUAAUUAGAUCCAUUGAAUCUAGUUGCUAGGUGGCAUUGUAUUGGCUGAGAUUGCUAAGAUUUUAGACAUAUGGGCUAAUCCUUAGGCUUGAUGACUCACAAGAUUUGCCAUAUCUUUUGCUUAGGUUUUAAGAAAAGGGCAUUUUAGUCUUUUUCCUUUUAAUUUAAUGGCAUAUUAGUAAUUUGUCAAAACCCUUAGGGUUUAGGGUUUAACCCUUUAAGUUUUAAAAAAAAAUACAAUUCUAGGAUUUCCAAAUUAGAUUUCCAAAAAUAGAAAAUUAAUAUUUCUAAAUUAUAAUUAGGAUUCUAUAAUUAUAUUAAAAUUUCCUAAUCAUAAUUCAAACUUGCUAAUUAGGAUAAUAAUUCCUAAUUAAAAUUACUAAUUUAGGAAUUAGGGUCAAAUCACGUAUUAGGGUUUACAACCCAAAAAUUAGGGUUUCUAAUAUAACACUAAUUUUCUAAUUUGGAAAUUAGAUUUUCUUAAUUAGAUUAAGGUUUAUAAUUACUAAAAACUUGAAAUUUAGGAUUAAUAUUUCCUAAUUAACAUUAAAAUUAUUAAAUUAACACUUAGGUUUUUCCCUAUUUAUAAAUUAGGGUUUCUUAUCCCAAAAUUUAGGGUUUAAAAAUAUGAAAUUAGGGUUUGCUAAAUAAUUAAGUUUUACCCUAAUUAAUAUUAUAAUAUAUAGCACUUAAGCAAUAUAAUAAUCAUUUAAGUUCCCAGAUUAGGGUUUCAUACAUCGAAUUAGGGUUUCGAAUUCCCGGAACUGAAAUUAGGGUUUCCAAAACCGAUUUUAGGGUUUCUUGUUAGUCUCUAGGGUUUUCUAACCGAACGUUGACGUUUUUAAUAUACGAUUAGGGUUUGUUACAGAUAUCGUAUCUGAUCAACCCUUAACCCUUAACCACAUAUUGUACAAUACAUAACCAUAUUCACAGAAUAUAUUCACGUAUUCCCUUAAUCCUGAUUAAUUCACCUAAAUCCUUAACAGAAUUUUGAAAUCCUCAAAAUUCCUUCUCAAAAAUAUCAAACUCAUACACUUAUUUUCUGUCUAGGUUCUAAUUUUGAACCUUAAAUCAAUUAAUAAAAAUUUUAAAAAUAUUCAAAAUUCUCGGGUUGUCACACUCUCUAUAUUAUCGAGAGUAUUUUGUGAGUAUUUAGAUACUUUGUGAGUUGCUAUCCAUCAGUGCAAUUUUCCUUCAACCAUAUACGGAUAUUCCGAUCAGAAGUACUUUUAUUUUAAGGUAAGGGAUGCUAUUUUCUUCCUAAUGAUGUUAUUCUUUCAAUAUCAUUAUACCGAAAUAUUGGUAUGAAUUUUAUUGUGGAAUUUCUACCAUUUUGUGUCGGGGUUACUAUUCAUAUAUACGACACUAUUCACGUAUACGACACUAUUCACGAAUACGGCACUAUUCAUCGAAAAAUAAAAUUUUCUUCUUUUUGUCCAAGAUGUCUAUUAUGGUUACUAUCUUUGAUUGUAUCCAUGUUUUGAUCUUUAUGUUUGAAUUCUGCUUCAAAAUUGGUUAUUAUGGAGUAUUAUUGAACUUGGAUAAACUGUAAUACGAAUCCCUAAUAUUUGUUCUUUUAUCUCACUGGAUUCGUUUUCUUUAAGAUAUUUUUCAUCAUCCUCAGUCCUAAAUGAUUAUAUAACUGAAUAUCUUUGGCCUAUAGUGCAAAGAUAAAUGAUUACCUAAUGAAUAUCUUUGGCCUGUAGUGCAAAGAUGAAUAUUUGAUUCAAGAUGUAUAUUGAUUGAUGUUACAGGGAUAAAAUGUUGAUGAUGAACUUUUAAAUCUUAUAAGAUAGUAGAAUUCUUUCUCUACUUGACUCUUCUAAUGGAUUGUUGUUUCCGCUGCAGUUGUUGAUCUAAAACUUGUUGUCUAUUAUAUUUUAUCAUAUUUUUCCCCGUUGAAGACUAAUGAUAAUUUGUUGUAUAUUAUCUUAGUCAUAAUAUUCUUUACUGGGCUAGUUGAGCUCACCCUUUUCCUUUUUGUUCCAUUGUUCUUCUCAGGAGGAGAGAAUUUAACAGGAACUAGCCGGGGUAUGGAGUGAUGAUUCAAGAUAGUUGUUUAGCAGUCCUCACUAUUUUUGUAAAAUAGUGUAUCAAUAAUUGUAAUGAGGACUCCUUUUGAGUUUGUAUACUCUCUAGUAUACAAUAUUUGUAUUCAAACUCACAGUAUAUGUGUUGUCGUAUUUUGCACGACAAUUGUAUUACUGAAGUUGUAUUUGUUCCUGUAUCAUGUAUUUGGCGACUCCGAAUGGGUGAUAUAUACCUAUUUUGGGGGCGUCACAGUUGGUAUCAAAGCCCAUUUCUAAAACCCCAUAUCGAAUGGCUCCUAUUAAACAUCAGGAGUUAAAGGUCCAAUUACAGGAGUUGUUGGACAUCGGUUUCAUUCGUCCUAGUACAUCUCCUUGGGGUGCUCCUGUGUUAUUCGUAAAGAAGAAAGACGGGAGUAUGUGACUUUGUAUUGACUACCGAGAAUUGGACCAUGUCACUAUCAAGAAUAGGUAUCUGCUACCUCGCAUAGACGACUUGUUCGACCAGUUGCAAGGAGCACAAUUCUUUUCAAAGAUCGAUCUUCGUUCUGGAUAUCAUCAGCUAAAGAUUAAAACUGAGAAUAUUCCAAAGACUGUCUUCAGAACUCGGUACGGGCAUUAUGAAUUCUUAGUCAUAUCUUUUGGAUUGACUAAUGCUCCUGCUGCUUUCAUGGAUAUGAUGAACCGUGUGUUCAAAGAAUAUUUGGAUCAGUUCGUUGUUGUCUUUACUGAUGACAUCCUCAUCUAUUCCAAAAGCUGUGAAGAUCAUGAGCGUCAUUUGAAGCUGGUACUGCAAUGGCUUCGCGAUAACAAGCUAUAUGCCAAGCUGAAGAAAUGUGACUUCUGGCUUGAGGAAGUAGCAUUCCUUGGGCACGUGGUGUCAAAACAUGGAGUAUAUGUCGACCCGGCGAAGAUUGAAGCAAUACAAAGUUGGGAGCAACCGAAGUCGGUGACCAAAGUACGUAGUUUUCUGGGCUUAGCUGGUUAUUAUAUGAGAUUCGUGGAAGGAUUUUCUCGAAUCGCUAUUCUGUUAACUCAGCUGACUCGUAAAGAUAAAAAUUCGGUUGGAGUGAGGAUUGUGAGAAGAGUUUUCAAGAACUCAAGAUAAGACUCAUUUCGGCACCUGUUAUGUCAAUACCAUCUGGUUCGGAUGGAUUUGUUAUCUACAGCGAUGCUUCAGGCAAAGGGUUAGGAUGUGUUCUCAUGCAACAUGGGAAAGUAAUAGCCUAUGCCUCGCGACAACUUAAAGAAUAUGAGAGGAAUUAUACUACUCAUGAUUUGGAGUUGGCAGCAGUCGUUUUUGCGUUGAAGAUCUGGAGACACUACCUGUAUUGGGAGAGAGUGGAGAUCUAUACAGAUCAUAAAAGCUUCAAAUAUUUCUUCACCCAAAAGGAACUCAACAUGCGGCAAUGACGUUGGCUCGAGCGAUUGAAAGAUUACGAUCACACCAUCCAAUAUCAAUCUGGAAAAGCAAACGUGGUAGCUGACGUAUUGAGUAGAAGAUCGUAUGCGGGUACGAAUGCAAUGUUGUUAACACAAAGGUCCAUUUUGUAUGACUUGCAAAGGAUGGAGAUAGAGGUAAAGGCUCCAAGUACCCACGUGAUGAUAUCAAAUAUACGAGUAGAACUGACUUUAAUCGAUAAAGCUAAAGCUGCUCAAGCUACGGAUAUGGAGUGAUUAUUCAAGAUAGUUGUUUUAGUAGUCCUCACUAUUUUGUAAAAUAGUGUAUCAAUAAUUGUAAUGAGGACUCCUUUUGAGUUUGUAUACUGUCUAUUAGACAAUAUUUGUAUUCAAACUCACAGUAUAUGUGUUGUCGUAUUUUUCAUGACAAUUGUAUUACUGAAGUUGUAUUUAUUCCUGUACCAUGCAUUUGGCGACUCAGAAUAGGUGAUGUAUACCAAUUUUGGGGGCGUCACGGUUGGUAUCAAAGCUUAGGGAUAUGAUCCCUGGCUGAGAUGUGAGACAAGAACUAGGAGGGGAGAGAUGGGGAAUUCCUUCGCUAGUAUGACCUGACUAAGUUUAUUUGGUAUUUAUUUGGUCAGUUAGAGUAUAGGGAUAAUAUGUGACAUGUUAAUUAACCCUUGUUUUGUGGCAGUAUUUGAGAAUGGCAGCUGCAAAUAUUAACAAUGAAGUGAAUCAGACUGUGGAGACACCUUUAAUCACCACCUAGGGGACCGUGCAACAGGAAGGCAAUAUUCCUCUUGUAAACAACACUACCGAACAAAUGAUGAAUGAUGGGAUGUUUAGAAUCUUUUUGCAGUUCAUGCAAAAUCAGACGAGGGAGACUCGUGCACAAAAUACGGGUGGAAAUGAUAGCAAUGUACGGCUUGUCACAGCCAAGAAGUUCAAAGAGUUGGGACCACCAGAAUUUGCAGGAAAGCCAGAUCCGAUUAAGGAGGAAACGUGGGUCAAACAAAUUACCAACAUAUUCGAUGUCUUCGGAUGCACGGAGGAACAGAAGGUUCCAUUCGCCACCUUUAUGUUCCGCGGUGAGGCAGAUUACUGGUGGGAAUCUGUGAAGCGUACCCAGCCUGCCGCACUCAACAUGUCUUGGGCAAUGUUUCAGAAACUGUUUAAUGACAAGUACUUUCCUGAAAGUAUUCGUCAUAUGAAGGAGGUGAAGUUUAUCAGACUGGAACAAAACAACAUGACGGUGUCCUAGUACGAGGCGAAGUUUGCAGAGUUAUCCAGGUUUGCCCCUCAUUUGGUCGAGAAUGAGGAACGAAUGACGAGGAUGUUUCUGAGAGGUCUAAAACCCGAGAUUCGAAAAUAUCUUAUCUCUCAUAAAUUUUCUUUAUAUUCAGAUGUUGUCAACAUGACUCAAUUAUUAGAGCAAGAUAAUGAGUAUGCCCAACCGAGGGACCACAAUCAGGGUCAUACCGGUGACAGCAGUCAUCGGAGCGAUGAUAACCAACAGGGAGGAAAGAAUACAGACAAAAGCGGUAACCACUCGAGUGGUAAUCGUGGCCAUGAUAAUAGGAGAGGUGAGUCAAGUGAAAAUUUCAGAAAUAGGAGAUUUAACAAUAACGGGAAGAUAUCAGCAGCAACACCAGCACCAACAACAAAUUCUAGGGGAGGAGAACGACCGCCAGUUAGAUGCUAUAGAUGCAGAUAGGAGGGACACAUAAGUCCAAACUGUUCAUAGCCUUCCAAGGUGUGUUUCAGUUGUGGAAACGACGGUCAUAUAGCCCGAUUUUAUUCGGUAGCGAAGUCAAUUCUAGUUGGGACGGCGACACCAAAGGCGACUACGGACAAAACAAAGUACGUGGUUCAAGGGAGGGCAUUUGUCGUGACUGGCCAAAACGCGAGAAACCCAAACGAGGUGAUCACGGGUAAGUUAAUCAUAAACUCUUGCGAAGUUUAUACCUUAUUAGAUACCAGUUCUACCCAUUCUUUUAUCUCUCCUACUUGUGCUCAACGUUUAAACUUGACUCCGGAGAAAUUAGACCUUGACUUAUUUGUUGAGACUCCAUUAGGUGAAACUUUCUUUGCAUCUACUGUUUAUAAAUCUUGCUUGAUCCAAGUUCGAACCAUAACAUUACCUGCCGAUCUUAUUUCAUUGAAAAUUCUUGCAUUUGAUGUGAUUUUAGGGAUUGAUUGGUUAACCACGCAUCAUGCUAAAAUUGAUUGUUUUCGUAAGGUUGUUAGUUUUCAUAUUCCUAACCAACCUAUUAUGCGAAUUCAAACAACCAAACCAUUAAAGUCAAUCACUGUCAUAUCAAGCCGUAAAGCUAUUCGUUUAUUGAAAAAUGGAUGUCAAGCUUUCUUAGCCCAUGUCACGGACUUGAACAAAAACACGUCAGAUUUGAAUAAUAUUUCUGUUGUUAGUGAAUUUCCUGACGUAUUUCCUGAAGAACUUCCCGGUCUACCCCCAGAACGUGAAGUUGAAUUCUUUAUUGACCUUGAACCUGGUACAAAGCCCAUUUCUAAAACCCCAUAUCGAAUGGCUCCUAUUGAACUUCAGGAGUUAAAGGUCCAACUACAGGAGUUGUUGGACAUCGGUUUCAUUCGUCCUAGUACAUCUCCUUGGGGUGCUCAUGUGUUAUUCGUAAAUAAGAAAGAAGGGAGUAUGCGACUUUGUAUUGACUACCGAGAAUUGAACCAUGUCACUAUCAAGAAUAGGUAUCCGCUACCUUGUAUAGAUGACUUGUUCGACCAGUUGCAAGGAGCACAAUUCUUUUCAAAGAUCGAUCUUCGUUCUGGAUAUCAUCAGCUGAAGAUUAAAUCUGAGGAUAUUCCAAAGACUGCCUUCAAAACUCGGUACGGGCAUUAUGAAUUCUUAGUCAUGUCUUUUGGAUGGACUAAUGCUCCUGCUGCUUUCAUGGAUAUUGUAACUCCCGAGAAUUUUGGAUUUUUAAUGAAUUAAAUUUUUAUUUGAUUAUGUGGAUUAAAUGAAUUUAAUUGCUUAAUUAUGUGAGUAAGAUGUUUGAAGGUCGUUCUAUGACCUAGAAGUGUGAAUGUGGUUAGUAUUCUGGCUGUGUGCUAGGAUUAAUUAUUUUGAAUUAUCCAGACGAAAAUGAAUGUUUUUCGAGAAGUUUUCCGUAAAAAUACUAUUCAUCCGAUUUCGUUCGGAGCUUAGGUUUGAAAUUCCGAGAAAUGCGUAAUGAUAGGAUAUGAAGAUAUAAUGGAAUAUCCAAUAAUAUUUCUGUUAUGGCAAACAAAGUUUUCGCUUGCGGACAUAAAACCUAAGGGUUUGUGAAAGAGAUUUCCGAAAGGGAAAAUGUAAUGCGUAUACUCAUUUCGGUGAUUAUACGUAUGAUAUACGAGUAUUAUACUAGUAUGAAUACGAGUAUGGUAUGAAGAAUAAUACAACGUAUAAUACGAAUAUCAUAUGAGUAUUAGAUGAAGAGAAUACGUGAGUUAUACGUAUAUAAUAUGAGAAGUUCUAAGGGAUUAGGAGUUAAGGACUUUGGCAUAAUCUAACUGGACUUGGACUAAUAGCAAGCCCAAUGAAUUGAGUGAACAAGCCCAAGUCAAGGCCCAAUAUUAAAUAAAGACAAGCCCAAUCCAAGAAGUUAAACAGCGGGUUGAACCAGCGGGUCACGAGAUGGGUAAAACCCAUGGGGCAACCCAUGGGAUGACCCAAGAGGGAGUGGGCCGGCCACUUGAUGGCCAAGUGAAGGUAAUACUUGAUCACCAAGUACUUUACUUGGUGAUAAAGUAGGGAAUAGUAAGGAGGUGGGGAAAUGGACCAUUUUACCCUCAUUUUGGUUUUCUAUAAAUACAAGACUUGUGUUGGUUAUUUGUUGAUUUAAAAAGCUUGACCAAUAUAUAUUGAAAGAUAAAAAGAGCUAGAAACACUUAAUCAAUUUACUUCUAAGAAAACCUUUAGACGUUUAUCAAGAACAUGAAGUACGUCAAAGGUAAAUUCUCAUAAACCAUAAUCUUCAUCUUUUUCGAUUUCUUUCUCGUAGAAAACCGUAGAUUGGUGGAGCAUGUUUAUUGAGGAGAGAUAAGGAUGUCUAUUAAUGAUCAAAUCAUUGAUAGGUCAUGACCAAAUAGAAAUCGUAAUUGUUUACGUGAGUUAAAAACCGUAGAAAGUCUUGAACGUGAACUUAGUUAUGAAUGAACGAUUUGAAAACCCUUAGAAUGUGCAUAUUGUUUGGUUAGGAUAUAGAUGGUGAAUUAAUGGAGUGUUCCAUUUGAUUUGGCUUAUAGAACACGAGUAAUGAAGUUAUAGCAAAUUUUGCAAAAAUAGACAUUAAACGUCGAAAACGUAAAAAUCUCGGAUUAGGGGUCAAAAGUUAUCGUGUGAAUUGAAAACGUUGGUUUCUAAUGUCAACACGUGAGAUAAGGUAAUUAAGAGUCUUUGGCGCGAUAAUCGUCGAAUUCCGACUUAGAACGAAGAAAACGAGUAUUGAACGGUUGAAAACGUUAAACGAACGCUCAAAAAUGAACUCAAAGAUGAAUUCUGAGUUAACGGAUUCGAAAGUAUAAAAUUCUUAUAUGAAAACGUAAAAUAUGUAAUUUGUGAGUUGUAGGCUUUCGAAUGGGUCAAUUCGGAUGUAAAACGAACAAAUUAUGAAGCCAGGAGUUUCGUUAGAAAACUAAACUGUUUUGGCCAACUGGUGCACAGAGGCGGCGCCACAGCGCCAAAACCAGUACAAAAUGGUCGCGUCGCAGCGCCGGAUCCAGCCGAGUCCCCUGUUAACUGGCGCCGCAGUGCCGAGUUUAUACUAGGGUUGCCGCGCCACAGCGCCGGCAGUGUAAAAAUGUUGACCAAGUUAGGUUUUUGUUCCAUUUGAAUGUAGACCUAAGGUAAGACAUUGAAGGUACUUAAUGUACAUAAUAAGACUAACCUUUAAUCACUUAUAAGGUGAUAAUGUUAGAAGAUUUAGUAAGGUUUAAUAGAAAUUAAAUGAAGAAACACGAGAACGUAAUAAGUAAACCGUAAAUAACAUUCAACGUUGGUACUGCACCAAUAAUGAUUGAAUGUCGGUUAAUAACGUAAGAACAUUAAUGAACCGUAACAAGGUAUAUAAAUUUGAAUCGACUUUAACAACGAAGUUAAUUCAAGUAAGACAUAGAAGAGAAAGAAGUUGGUUAGGGAGAAUAAAGUUAGUUUGUUUGAUAACUAAUUACAGUGUGCUAUGUGAAUAUAUCAUGUAGAUCUUGUAAAGACUGAGAAUUGUUGAAUUAUAUAUUCGAAGACACUUGAAGGCAAGUCUUUCUUAACGAUUGCCUAACCUUCGUGUUAGUCAUGUUUUAUGUGAUUCAUGUUAUAAGAUACAUGAAUGGUUUUAAAGAAAGAGUCGAUGCCUGUUUUUACCUCGGUUAGACAAGUAUUAAAGAAUGGAUUGAUUUGUUUACAAGUCUUUUGAUAUAGAACUGUUAACGCUAUCCUAUGCCAAGUAUUUGGUAUGGAUGUAAAGGUAAGUUUGUCUAUGUACAAACAAAAGUAUUUUCAUCGAUUAUUCGAUGGGCACGCGAGGUUGCCAAAUGUUAAGCGUAAAUACGUUUAACGGAAUAGUGUUGAUCAACAUAGAGUACAAUAGGUUGAUCACCUAGAAGUGCUCGUAAGUAAAGACGGAUGGAUGGCCUUAGUGUCGGAUGUCCUUUUCAAUUAUGAAAACGAAAAGAGUAUGUUCAUGGUCUAUUGACCGGUUAAGAAUUCCGAAGCUAUUAUAUGUACUUUGGAAUAGUUGUUAUGACAUGAGAAGUACUAGUCAAAUGUUUCAUAGUGCUUCGUAGUUAAUUGUUCAGUUAUGGAGGUAAAGCAUGUAAUUAUUAAUGUGAUAUUCAUAUGAUUCUUUGUUAAGACUUGAUGAGCUAGUUAUGCUCAUUCUUGCUUGAACCAUAUGUUUGCAGCUAAAGUCAAACGAACUGAAAGUUCUAAGAGAGAUAAAGGCAAGGCUAAGAUGGACAAUUAAUUAUCCUAUAAUAGAUUAGUGUAUUUGUAUGUAAGAUACCUAUGAAGAACAAAGAAUGUAUUCUAUUUAUGAACCUGGGAAGGGAUUUAUUGCAAAUGUAAUACAAAGAUAGUAGUUACACUCAUUUUGUUGUUAUCUCAAUGGAAUGAUUGUAAGGAUUGUAGUAUCGUGGAGCACCAUCUAUCGGGUUGGAAGAUACCCGGAUUUGGGGGCGUCAUAGGUUGGUAUCAAAGCAUUACGUUAUAAAACUUAAGGGGGGGAAGAACCAUAGGCUAAUAACCUCAUUAGGAAGGGAAGAGUCUGAAGAAAGGUAACUCGAGUCAAAUGAGUUAUUAAGGUAUUGAGAAAACUCAGUACCGAAAGAUUUAAAAGAUGAAAAGUAACCCUAAAUGAAUUAAAUGUGAUUUGUGCUUAUAAUUAUUGUGUAUUAUGUACUAAUCAAUUUGUUAUGUGUUAUUGUAGAUGUCGGUCGAUAGCUUGAUGUAUAGGGAUAUACAUGUGGUCAGCGAGGAGUCCGUGAACCAAGUUGAUCCAGUACAUGUGCCUCUAGCAGACAUACCUAUAGUGAUCCUAGAAGAGUCAGAGCCCGAGGAGUAUUAUUUAGAGGAGGACGAUUUUGAGGAGACCAUGGGGUUAGCAUCAUAUCUGAAUAUGAUGAUAGAUGUGGAGGAUGACAUGGAGGUAACAUCGGUUAAUACGGUGAUGCAUGCCUUAGAGUCGACACCUACAGAGACGAUGAGGGCAAUGUACCUCUCAGUGCUUGACCGUAACGUGCAACUGCAUAAUAUGGUGCAGCACCAGAAGGAGGAGAUCAGUGAUCUCUAUGGGGCCAAGUAGUCUGCAGAGUCAGACUAUGAGAUUGAGCAUGAUGAGAAAGUGCUCAUGACUGACAAGGCUAGGGACUAUAAGAACGAGGUCAUAGAACUUUGUAAGAAACUUGCUGAAAAAGACCAGAAGAUAGCACGAAUGUCAUAUAUAAAUGACAAUGCGCACGAGGAUUUCAAGCUUAAGAUAGCUUGUUAUUCUAUUGAGUCGGGACAAACUCGACAUACUGUAAGUCGAGAUAUUAUGUCGAUUCUAGCUAACGAGAAGCAUGAGAAUGCGGUUAGAUAGUAUUAGAGGUUAGAAUGGUAAAUACUUUUGUGUAGUGACGUAAAACCCUCUUUUGUAUAAUUAAAGGGUAGUCUUUUUGUAAAUCCCAAUUUUUUUGAAAGUCAAUCACGGGAUAUAAAUGUAAUAGCCUUUGGCUAUGGAACACAACGUGUAAAUAGUUUUGAACUAUAAAGAAGCACUUUAAUAUAAGGAAGUUUUUAUUUUAAUGUGCUUUAUUGUGUAUGAGUUAUUGUUUAGUUGUUCGAUUACUAGUAACUAAGAAAGAAAAUAAGUAAUAACAGGACUUUAUAUUUAAUCAGAAAUGCCGCCAAGAAGAAGACAACGUAACCAAGAGGCGGAAUCACAUAAUGAUAAUCAGGGGGUCCUAAUAACCCUAUGCAAGAGUUCGUUAAUUUAUUAAUGGUUGCGUUAACCAAGCUGGGGGUAGAGCACCCACAAGACCUAGGAUAGCCCGAACAACUACCUUUAAGGAAUUUAAAUGUGUAGGUCCACCUGAAAUCAAAGGAACGAUGGACCCAAUGGAGGCCCAGAAAUGGGUCAAGGAAAUAGAGAAGGCGUUUUUGAUUACAAACGUAGCUGUAUAAUCAUGACCGUAAUGUGAAGAAUGAUGUGGUAAAAGUCCCCAUUGGCCUGUAGUUCAUUGGUGGACAGUUGUUAGUAUGAUUAUGACCAGGGAUUAUUCGGUAUAGUCAUGACCAUUGCUGAUUACAUGAAUAUCCUUGGCCGUGGAGCAGGGAUGAUUCAAUGAUGUGGUUUAUUUAUUAAGCUGAGUCUCAGCGAUUAAGUUGAUGAAAAACUUUUUAAAUCAUAGAAGAUAGUAGAUUUUAUACCUUACUUGACUCUUCUAAUGGAUUGCUUGAUCCGCUGCAGUUAUACUUGUUGUCUAUUAUAUUCUAUCAGUUUAAUAUUGUUGAAGGCUAAUGAUAAUUUAUUCUGCAUUAUCUUAGUCAUAAUAUUUCUUACUGGGCUAGUUGAGCUCACCCUUUCUUUCACUGUUCUCUUCAGGAAAUGAGAACGUAGCUGGGACUAGUCGGGGAACAGAGUGAUGGUCCUAGAUGGUGCAUUAGUAGUCCUCACUAUUCUGUGAAAUAGUGUGAUAAUAAAUGUAAUGAGGACUCCAUUGAGUGUGGAUAUUGUCUAGAUGACAAUAUUUAUAUUAAAACUCACAGCCUAUGUUUUGUCGUAUUUUACACGACUGUUGUAUUAUUAAGUUGUAUUUGUAUUCAGUACCUUGUAUCUGACGACUUAAGAUGGGUGAUGUAUACCUGUUUUGGGGGCGUCAUAGUUGGUAUCAAAGCUUAGGGAUAUGAUCCCUGGCUGAGAUGUGAGACAAGAACUAGGAGGGGAGAGACGGGGAAUUCCUUCGCUAGUAUGACCUACCUAAGUUUAUUUAGUAUUUAACUGGUCGGUCAGAGUAUAGGGAUAAUAUGUGAUAUAUUAAUUAACCCAUAUUUUGUGGCAGUAUUGGAAAAUGACAUCCGAGAAUAUUGAGAGAAGCAAUGAAGCACAUGAGACUGUUGAGUCAGCUCCACCAAAAGAUAACGACCAACAACACGAUAAUAAUCAUACCGGUGGCAAUGACCAUCGGAACAAUGAUAACCAUCGUGGGGGAAAUUAUCAUUCCAAGAAUGGUAACCACUUCGGUGGUAAUCAUGGCCAAGAUAAUAGAAGUAGAAAUUUCAAGAAGAGAAGGUCAUUUAGCUCGAUUUUGUCGUAUAGUGAAGUCAAGUCCAGCUGGAGCGGUGACACCAAAGGCGGAUACGGACAAAACAAAGUCGGUGGUUUCAGGAAGAGCGUUUUUGUGACUUCUCAGAAAGCGAGUGACCCGAACGAAGUUAGCACGUGUUAGUUAAUUAUAAAUUCUUGCGAAGUCUAUACCUUAUUAGAUACCGGUUCUACCCAUUCUUUUAUCUCUCUUGCUUGCGCUCAACGUUUAAAUUUGACUUCUGAGAAAUUAGAUGUAAGACCCCGAAUUUUAUGAAAUAAAAGUAUUCAAUUUUUCUUAUAAUUACAAUUCAGUAAAUGGUUAAAUUGAUAAAAGUUUAAAGUUAAGGGUGAUAUAUGAAAAUUUUUUAAAUUAAGCAAGUGGUUAUAAAAUACUCAUUGUUGUGGGAGAAUAUUCGUUUGGUCGUGGAAUAUUCUUGCUGUCGAGGAAUAUUCGUACGACGGCGCAGCCUUGUGUGGGCCCCAUAACGGAAAGCGAUUGGAUGAAGAAAACGACAAGUAUAAGUUGUUUACAAAUAACGGCGUAGUUGUUACGUUAACACUGUUUGAAUACCCGGUAGUUAAAAUACAGUAAUACGCGUUAUUGCACAGUAGUACACGGUAUUGCACAGUAUUUUUGAAUUAUUGAUUCUUACGUAAGAAGGCACUACUCAAUAAUUGUUACAGUAAUUACUGUUUAGUAUUUUAUUUUAUUGAUUCAAUAAUUGAUACGUUGAUAUUUUAUAUUACUGUUAUUUCAAUAAUUGUCACUACACAAUAUUUUCCAUUAUCGGAGCAAUAAUUCAUAUUAUCUGAAUAAUAUUAUUAGAUAACAUUAUUGGCAAUGUCUAGAAAGUUCUGUCUAAGGAGAGGUUUGGUCACCUAAUUGCGCGCCAGUAAGGAGAAAUUCUUAUUGGAAAGCCCCCUCUUUCCUGGGAACUGCCUGGUUGUCAGUAUUGUGAUUCUGUAAUAUUAUUUGUGAAUAAUUAAUUAUUGAUUUAUAUGAUGAGGAAAAUAUUCAUUUUAUGUGGAUAUAGAUGGAGAAAAUUUUUAAAGUGACAAUUGUUGAAAAUCGAUAUUUUAUCUUUUCUGAUAAAAUAAUAUUUUAUUAUAUUAUUAUAAUAUAAUAAUGAUGAUAUUUUUACAAUGAAUGUGGGAUAUAUGAGUAUAUGAGGAGGAAGAGUAUUUUUGUUGCAAAAGUUGUUUAAAACAUGUUAAACAUGUCUGUGGGCCCAUUUCUUGACUGAAAUUUGAUUAUAGCCUGUAAAAUUGUCCGUAUGUGGAUUUCGGUCAAUUUCGGUUUGAAAUUUGGAAAACCUUUCUUCUGCAAAGUUGUAGAGAAUUGAAUUUCCUAUAGAAAGUAGUGAGAUUCGAAUUUUCUGAUAAAAGGGCUAUUUAUUAUGAAUUAUUGAAGUUCUGAUGUUCCGGAAUAAUUGAUUUUUGGAAGUUUUAAUUAUUUUAAUUAAGAAAAACAUUUUUUUUAUUUUUUUUGAGUUGGUGGCUGAUGCUUGGAUCUGAUUUGGUGUGCGUAAGAAUUUAAUAUAUAUAUAUAUAUAUAUAUAUAUAUAUAAGAAUAUUUUAUUAAAUUUUCUGCUUUGAUGUUCUAAACAAUUUUCUAUAAAUAGGGUGCUUAGGUUAGAAUUGAAAAUCACACCAGAAAUUGAAGUUUUCUCUCUAUUUCUCUCUCUAUUUAUCGAGUGUAUUCUUGUGAGUAUUUUGAUAUCUUGAGUGUUGCUAUAUGGUGCAAGUUCGUUCAGCGUUAUUCCAAUCAGAAGUACUGCUCUUUUGAGGUAAGGGAUUGUAAGGGAUAUUAUUUUUUUAAUAAUGAUAUUAUUUCUUCAAUAUCAUUAUGCCGAAAUAUUGGUUGGAAAUUUUUUUAUCAAAUUUGGAACUUUUCAUGUCGGGGUUACUAUUCAUGAGUUACUAUUCACGAGUUACUAUUCAUGAGUUACUAUUCACGACGGUUACUAUUCAUGAGUUACUAUUCAUGAGUUACUAUUGUUAGGAUCCGAAAUUUUACGAAUAAUUUUUAUUUAUUUAUUUAAUUUUUAUUUAAUAGUUAUAUUGAUUACCAAAAUUGUGUUAAGUAUCUGUGAUACAAGUCUAGAGAAUUGGUCAAUUUGUGUAUUAACUAAGAAAUAUGAGUAGAGUUGUGCUUAUUAGAGAAUAGAAACCCUAACCUUAAGUCCGGAUAGGGAUUCGGUAGAAAAUACAGUUAUAAAAAUUGUAUUGAUGAGUAUGUGUUUGUACGAUAUAGAAGUGAUAAUCAAUUAUUGAUCUGAUAGGGUAUAAACUUAGUAAACCCUAAUAAGGGAUUAUAAAUCUUAAUCGAAUAUUGGAUAACCCUAAACCCUGAUAAACGAACCUUAAUCCUAAUUAGGGGUAACACUAAGAGUUUGGGAUAUUAAAUAUUAUCACAAGUAUGUAGAUGUAAAUUAUGUAUAAAAUUUAUCAGGGAAAUCAAGUGAGAAAUAGCAAACCCUAAUUGGUAAACCCUAUUUUAGUUUUCGAGAGUCCGAAACCCUAAUUCAGAUAUUCAAAACCCUAAUUUGGGAAUUCAAAAGUUAAGUUUAAAUGCCUAAGUGUUAAAAGGUGUGGGAUAAAUGCGAAAUGUCUAAAAUGCCCUUCAAAUUAUAGUGGAAAAGACCAAAUUACCCUUAGUGGGUGCAAAAUGACCGAAAUACCCUUUUCUUAAACUUUAAGUAAAAGAUUACACAAUCUUUGUGAGUCAUCACCACUUAUUUAUCCCAUGUGUCUUAAAAUCUUCCAAGAUCAGAUAUCAAGUGCCACCUUGCACAUUUAGAUGCAUGAAUCCAAAAAUCAAAGUGUAUAACUUAGGUAAAAUCUUACUUUACUUAGCAUUCUCUCCAAGUCUUUUCUCUCUCUAUAUUUUCGAAACUUAGAGUGAUAAAGAGUGAGAAACAAAACCAUUAUUAUCUCUCAGCCUUCCAAGAAACAGAUCAAAGGACAGAAAUCAAAAAUCAAAGUUAGAAAAGGUAUAAACCCUAAUUCUUGUAAAUCUAUGAUUUGAUGUUAUAUGUUGUUAUUUGUUUGUUAAAGUUGUGUUAAUAGAUGUUAUUUAGUGAUCCAAGAUGUAACAUCAAGGAUCCAUAACAUCUCGAAGCCAGAAAAUCAAUUUUUUUAAACUGACUUAGAACCCUAAUUUUGUUGUCUGACAAUCCAAUGUCAAAGCUCAUAGAUCUCAACCUGUUAAUGAUUUGUUGUAUUUUAAGUUAUAGACUUGUUCUUUGCCAUAAGGAGAGUAUACUGAAAGUGGAAUCACAUCCAAACCAUGUCUAGAUCUCAAGAUAUUAGCAAUCAAACCUCAUUGACCGAUCAUGGAAAACUGCCUUCUAGGCAGCCCAGAAUUCCCCAUAUGGUCUGACAGUCAUUUUCAAGGGUUUAGAUCAUGCUGUUGUUUGCUAGUUUGACCAAUUUGUUGUUCUUAUGUUGUAGACUGAUAUGUGAAAUACACAUAAAAGUCAUUAUAAUACCCAUAUCAUGUAUAGGAUCCAAGAUAUUGUGGGUCAAACCUGUGUUGACCACCUGUUUUGUGAAAUCUGGAAAACCCAGAAAGUUGUAGAGCAAGUUUUCUGACAUGGUUUGACCAUGCCAGAUCUUGCUCAUAGGAUGAUGUUAUAAUGUUAUAAUGCUAUGUAGUUGUACCCUGUCAUGUGGUCUACACUAUGGAACCAUUGGAUUGCACAAAGAAAACAUAGAACUCAACUUAUAAGAAACCAAAUUAGGUAACUAACAACUGUUCUUCAUUUCUGGAAAACCCAGAAAUGAAGAACAGCUACUGACAAAAAUUGGGAGGCUUAGAUCUUACGAAUUUGAUAUGUUUUAGCCAUAAAAAGUGCUGGAGAUUAUAGUAUUACAAUAAUACUACAAUUCUAUUACAUUAGACUUCCCAGAAACACAAUGAACAAGAAAUUAAAACCGGUCAAACUAGCUACCUCGAACUCUGACAAGGUUUCUAGGUUUGUGUUCAAGAACACCAAGAACACCUAUAGCGACGGUUCUGUCGCUAUAGGGCCCUUUAGCGACAGUUUAUUUUCCAAAAUUAAUAUUUUUAAUAAAUAAUUAGUAUUAAAUAGUUUUUAAUUAUUAAAAAUACAUAAUAAAUUCCGAAAAAUUAGUUUCAAGUCUGAAAAAUAGUUUUUAAUUAUUUAGAGUAUAUUUCAUAAAUAUUUAAUAUUUUUGGAAUAUAAAUGGUAUUUAAUUUAUUUAAUUAUAAUAUUAAAUAAAUUAUUUAAAAAUGAUUUUAAUACAUAAAAAAUUAUNNNNNNNNNNNNNNNNNNNNNNNNNNNNNNNNNNNNNNNNNNNNNNNNNNNNNNNNNNNNNNNNNNNNNNNNNNNNNNNNNNNNNNNNNNNNNNNNNNNNAAAUACUUUGAAAUAUUAUAAAUAUAUUAUAAUACUAUGGUAUGAUUUUCAUUAAUAUUUAAUAAUAAAUAAAUAUUAAUGAUAAGGGAAUAAAGUGGUAUUUAAUUUAUAUAAAUAAGUUAUAAGUGAUUGAAAUUUUUUGAUAAAUAGUAAUAAUUAUUUAUAAAUUGUUAUAAGCUAGGGAAAAAUAGUUUUAACUAAUAAUUAAAUUAUCUAAUAUAAUUGUGAAGUAUUUAGGCAGAGUCUUUUUAGGAUUAAGCUCAGUAAUUAUCCGAUUAGGCAAUCGGGCUGUCAAAAUAGUAUCAAACUCAACUCAAACUGUAAUAGUUUGACUUGAGGUUAGGUCUUAUGUGUCUUAUAGACCGAUAGGAUUAUGUGAUAAUGUGUUUAGGUUAUUUUAUAACAGUAAUUCACAGUAAUACAUUGUGAUGAUAUUAUUCUAACUUGGAGAUCAAUAUUAUUAAUAUUUGGUCUUCAGACGAAGUUAAAUAGACUGUAUAACAAUAGUCGACGAUACAGGCAAGUUUUUCUUAACUCAAACUCGAGUUAUUAUUUUUCAAGCACGUUAAUGGAAAAUUAUUGUUGAUUAUUCCACAUCUACGAUUAUAUUGAAUAUUCGCAUUCAUUGCAAGUUUUUCUGCACUUUGUGAAACUUUAUAUUUCAAAUGCAAGUUCUUCUGCACUUUGUGCAAACCUCAUAUUGCAAAUGCCAGCUUUAUUUAAAUUAUUUUAUUAAAUGAAAAUUUUAUAUUUAUUAGUUAUGAUCUGGUGAUAUAUAGUGUAUAUGAUUUCUAUUAUUUUUAGGUUAUGAUUUAUUGUUCAAACAUAACCAAGUCAUAUGAAUUAUUAUUAUAGAAAAAUGUGUUUGAUUUAAUAUCAAAAUAUAGUUUGUGAGAAACCAAUUUUGUUUGGUACCGAAAUAUAUACUGACACUAUUAUGAUCGGCAGCAAUAGACUGACCGGGUUCCAUGUGCCGACAUUUAUAGCAAUGACCGGAGGUUAUCUAGAUAGGAUGAUAUGCAUACUCCUAGUUUGUUUGGUUGAGCGGAUUAUGUAACAUCCCCAAAUCUGGGUCCCAAGAACCACGAACUUGGUACGUUACGAUACUUCAUCAUCAUACAUAUUCUAUCAUCUAAUGCGAAACAAAUAAACAUAUAUUGUUUAUUUUACAUAAUUCUAUAACAUUUCCCCAAGUUUAUUAACCUUAACUUAAUACAUACCUUCAAUAUCUUAGAAGAUUUACAAUGCUAUUUUCGUCCGAAAAUUUAAUAGAUCUAACUGCAACAUAAUUUAAUCUUGCACUUUGACUUUGCUUCUGUCUUUAUUCGAGCUUUCAUCUAAAUCUAAAAAUUUUAUCAUGAUAUAGCAAGGGUGAGCAACAAAUUUGUCCAGCAAGUGUUAAAUACAAUGAAGAUAUAUCAUGAUUGAAAAGAAUGAAUAAGCUUUCAAGUUUUCAACAAUAUAAUAAUUGUGAAAUAACAUGAAUCAAGUUUCAAUAAUUGCAUGACUGAAUUAAUAAUGUUUGAAGGUCAACAAUGACCAUAAAUAAUUUAAUUGCACCUUAUGGUAAUGAAGGUGAUCAGCCUUUUAUACCUGAUGAACAUAUGCAACAUGCACUAAGUGCGAAUCAAUAAUCAGUUUAGGCAUGAAUAAUCAUCAAUAAUCAUUCACUAAAAUACUUUGAAAUAUAACUCGAGUUUGAGUUAAGGAAACUUGCCUGAUUCGUUGACUAUUGCUACGCAAUUUCAGUUAACUUCUUUUUGGUAAGACCUAUCAUUAAUAAGAUUGGUCUUUCAAUCAGCAUAUUCUACUUUGUAUCAUAAUACAAUUACUUUAUCAAUCAAUUAUCUAACACUUAAUCAAAUAUUAGAUAACUUCUUAACACAUCAGUAUUAUUAUUGUCCUUUGAUAAUUUUUAAUCACUAUAUCAUAUCCNNNNNNNNNNNNNNNNNNNNNNNNNNNNNNNNNNNNNNNNNNNNNNNNNNNNNNNNNNNNNNNNNNNNNNNNNNNNNNNNNNNNNNNNNNNNNNNNNNNNAACAUCUUAACACAUCAGUAUUAUUAUCAUUCUUUGAUAAUUCUUCAAUCACUGUAUCAUAUACAUUAUGAUUUAUCACUUGCUUUUUCAUUUUAUAAGUUAUUCUUUAACAUCUAUUAAGUUAAAUAUUAAUCCAGCCACCUGGAUUCUAAAUCCAACAACCCAAACUGCAAUCUAGCUAACUGGAUUCCAAAUCCAGCGACCUGGAUUCAACAGAUUUCCAAUCCAGGAAGCCUGGAUUCACCAAUACUUCAAUCCAGCAAGCUGGAUUCAUAAUCCUUCAAUCCAGCAAGCCUGGAUUCAUAAAUCUUUCAAUCCAGCAAGCUGAAUUCAUCAAAUUUUCCAAUCCAGCAAGCUGGAUUCCAUAUCCUUUUCAUGAAAAACAAUAAAUCACAUAUUAUUUUUCUAUCCUUUUCCCAAACACAUAAUAUAGUUCAUUGAAUAUCAAUUUCAACAAUUACAUUGAAAAAUAUCAUAAAUCUCUUAUUUUAAUCAUCCGUCGAAUAUUAUUAAUUAUGUAAUAAUAUUUUACGCUAAGGUUAUUAACCUUUUAAGAACAUUACAUUCAAAUACUACUAAUAAUAUCUUAAUCCAAUAUUAUUAGUCAUAUAACAAUAAGUUAAGUCAUUAAUCACAUUAAUAAACAAUUGUUUUUAAUUGUUUUCCUUUUAUUAAUACACUUGUUUAAGCAUUCUAAAAUGCCAUAAACAUCACAACACUUCACACCCGACCCAAAACUUCAUCAAAAACCUUCAUAAGUCAUGCUCAAGGGUCUCAAGUCAUAAAUCGUACUUUUCAUAUUUUUGGACAUCAUAUAAUUAAUUAAAUCUAUUUAUUCAUUUAUCAUCAUUUAGAUGAAAAUACCAAAUCAGUUCCAAAAAUAUUUAUUUUCUGGGAUUUGACAGAAUAUAGUUUCAUAUUGAACAUAUAUUUUUUCCGGAAUUUUUAAAAUAGAUUUACUAUAUUUAAAUAGUCCAUAAUAGCCAAAUAUUCUCUGAUUUUUCAUAAAUCGAGAUUAACUCCAAAAAUUCUGAAAUUUUUACAGUAUGCUCCUGCUAUACACAUGUACUUCCAGUAUAAAUUUUGUAAUUUUUGGACUUACACACAGAGAGUUAUUCGGGUGACUUCACAAAAAUAGUCCUUCACCGUAAAAUCCAUAACUCUCAAACCGUAUGGCCAAAAAUUCUCAAAUUUUUACACAACCUGCAUAUCUUCUGAUAUUAACACCCCAAAUUUUUCCAGAAUUUUUAAAGUACAAAAAGAGGACAAAACGGUCCCCGUUUUAGACUGCCCCAAAACAGUCUUAUUUUCUUUUCCAAAAUCGGGACUGUUUUGGCUUAAUCAGCCACUACACCAUGAAAACUCAACAUUUUUGAGUUCUACCACUUGGGUUAACUAGUAAACACGUAUAUCUAUCACCCCUCUUUGACGGGUCGUAAAAAGGAGUUAUAGAUUUAAAACGGUGGAUUUUCAAAGUAAAUAGAAAUUUUUUGAUUUCAAAACUAGAAAAAUUAAUUUUCUUUUCCUUUUUGAUUAAAACAAAAUAAACACCCAAUAUGGGUAAAUCUAAACAUGAAACACUCAUCAACAUGGAUACCCAUGGUUUUUGAGUUUAUAAACAUAAAUCCAAGCUUUGAUUUGGAAAAAUCAAAAUCAAUUACAUAAACUAGUUUUAGGAUUUACCUCUUUUCUCAAAAUCUUCCUUCUUCUUCUUCUUUCUUCUUCCAUGGAGGAUGUUAUCUCUCCUCCUCUUCUCCCUCAUGGCUGCCGCACCUUCUCCUCUUCUCUUUCUCGGUUUUUCUUUUCUUUCCCAUUCUCUUCUUUUUCCUUUCUCUUUCUCUCUCUUCUUCUCUUAUCUUCUCUUUAUCCUUAUUGCCGAUUCUUCUCUUUUUUUUCUCC